AUGCCUCCUGACACAUGACACAGCCACACCUGGCACCUCAGAGCUCGUGCUGAGCAAACCUGUCCUCUUUCUGCAGGACCUGGUUUCCUGUGAGUCUAGCAACACCAGGAGACCCCACACGCUUGACGGACGGGUCAGCCCUUCUAGGCGGCGGGCCCCUCCCUGGUGCCUUCCUCAGCGGGAGCUCUGCUCCCUGACACUGGGCUGUCACCAUCUCCACCCUGGCCUCCUCUUCUGUUUGCUCCAGGCUGUUUGUCUUCGCUGGUAUCAGAUUGCAGACGAUCUCACUAUGUAGCCCAGGUUGACCUCAAAUUCACGUCAAUCCUCCUGCCUCAGCCUCCCAAAUGCUGGGAUGACCAGUGUGCUUACCAUCAGUCUGGCUGCAUGUACUCACCUCCUCCAGGAAGCCCUGCCUGAUUUACCUGCCGGACUUCGGCCCCUCAGCUUGGCCUCCACCCCUCCUCGCCUUCCUUCUGCCCCAACCCUGGACUCCUGAUGCUCUGGACCUGCUAUUUGUCCCCGGCAGGGCCCAGCCAGGAACCAGGUCCCAGCCUUUCCCGGGCCACAGCUCUGCUGGCACGAGAUCAGAGCCGAACGCUGUCACCUUCCACCGAGAGCGGCCGCCCCCACUCUGGACCUGGUGGAUGAAGCCAAAGCCAGCUCCAGGCAGGAACUGCAGGCGGAGCAAGGGGCACAGACGGUCCCAGGCUGCGGUGCUGUGGGGCAGGGCCCGGGCAGGGCUGGAGAGAGUGGGUCUGGAGAGGCUCGGGGCUGGGGGGCCCAGGAUGCAGUGUGAGGUAACCGUGUUAGAGUCACUAACUUAAAGAUCACAGCAUGCGAUCUAUUAAACAUUGCUCUGCUCCUA